rnacentral:rRNA from 1 species
GACUCUCGGCAAUGGAUAUCUCGGCUCUUGCAUCGAUGAAGAACGUAGUGAAAUGCGAUACUUGGUGUGAAUUGCAGAAUCUCGUGAACCAUUGAGUCUUUGAACGCAAGUUGUGCUCGAGGCUUUGUGGCCGAGGGCACGCCUGCUUGGGCGUCAUG